CCAGCUCACGCACAGAUCACUAGGUCUUCUUCCUUCCUCCCUCUUCCCUGACCCACACAGCCGCCGCCAUGGACGCAAAAACAAACCUCAGAUGUGCUGUUGUCUUGUGAUGUCUCUAUAGAUCUUGUCCUAACAAUCCUUCCUUCCAACCUCCUUCUCCUACGAUCGCCCAAAGUUCUACAACACCAGCACAAGUGGAUGAGUCUUUAUAUCAUACCCAAAUCACAUAUCUAUCUAAAGGAAAAGCAAAAGGAAGAAAAAGAAACAUGGAGAAGAAGCUGCUUCGGGUCAGUGCAAGGAAAAUUACACAAAAUAUUCAACAGCAAGGAUAGUAUGAGAGUACAGAUAGACAAGAAGACAACACGGUGCUGAAAAAUUCAGGUCAAGGGAAUGAACAUGUGCAGUUGGUUAAAAAUUCAAUUAAUGUAACUUAUGAGGAGGCAUUGCUUGCACAAAGCUAUGGGGGACAAGAAGAGCAACACUACACAACAAAACAAAAAGAAUUAAGAAUUAAUUGAACUUCAGUUUGGAAAGCAAAGUUUCCAAAUGAUUAAUGAGCUGCUAGCACCACAAGGAGCCACACAUUCUUACACACAACUCAUGCAACAAAUGACUGUGAUGGGUCAUCUUCAAAGUGACAACAUGGCAAUCCUAUAACAAGUUUCACUUCGCUCUUGACAGCAGUCAUAAAUGCUGAGGAUCAGCAUCUAAUUGCAGAACCAAUAAUAAGCAACCAUACGCAAGUAGAAGAAGAACAUCAAGUUGAAGAAGAAGAUGAACAUGAAGCAGAUGAGUAUAAUUCUGAAUGCAACAGUGAUCAAAAUGAAACUGAUCCAGAGCAACAUUACCUACAAUGCAGUAGUGAUCAAAAUGAAACUAAUGCAGAGGAAGAUUACCUGGAAGAAAAUACAAUAAGUUGUGAUCAGUUCUGUGCAGAUCACGGGGAUUCAGAAUUGCACCAAAUAGAGCAGAGUUGGAACAAUUUUGAUUCAGUUAUUGAGCAAGAAAUGAUAAUAACUGAAAAAGAAGUAUUAGCACAUAGCAAUGAGGGAGCAUUGCAAGGUCCUGAUUACGCAGAAACAACAGAUACAGAUGGCACAAGUGGGAGUGAUGAAUCAGAGUUUGAAACAGAGCAACAACAAGAUGGAGAAACAGAAAAAAAACAAUUGUCACCUUGAUAACAGUGCUGAGUUCCCAAAGUCAGAACAACAGGAUGAGAUCAUAAAUGUAUCAAGCAAUAAUAAGAUAUCACGAAAAUAUAAGAAAGAUAACAAAGAUGAAAAUAAGUUAUCUCAGGAAGA